GAUGAACGCUGGCGGCGUGCCUAAUACAUGCAAGUAGAACGCUGAAGGAGGAGCUUGCUCUUCUGGAUGAGUUGCGAACGGGUGAGUAACGCGUAGGUAACCUGCCUGGUAGCGGGGGAUAACUAUUGGAAACGAUAGCUAAUACCGCAUGACAACAGUUAUUGCAUGAUAACUGUUUAAAAGGGGCAACUGCUCCACUACCAGAUGGACCUGCGUUGUAUUAGCUAGUUGGUGAGGUAACGGCUCACCAAGGCGACGAUACAUAGCCGACCUGAGAGGGUGAUCGGCCACACUGGGACUGAGACACGGCCCAGACUCCUACGGGAGGCAGCAGUAGGGAAUCUUCGGCAAUGGACGGAAGUCUGACCGAGCAACGCCGCGUGAGUCAAGAAGGUUUUCGGAUCGUAAAGCUCUGUUGUAAGAGAAGAACGAGUGUGAGAGUGGAAAGUUCACACUGUGACGGUAUCUUACCAGAAAGGGACGGCUAACUACGUG
rnacentral:rRNA from 1 species